CGGGAGGCAGCAGUGGGGAAUAUUGCACAAUGGGCGCAAGCCUGAUGCAGCCAUGCCGCGUGUGUGAAGAAGGCCUUCGGGUUGUAAAGCACUUUCAGUAAGGAGGAAAGGUUGGAUGUUAAUAGCAUUCAGCUGUGACGUUACUUACAGAAGAAGCACCGGCUAACUCCGUGCCAGCAGCCGCGGUAAUACGGAGGGUGCGAGCGUUAAUCGGAAUUACUGGGCGUAAAGCGUACGCAGGCGGUUUGUUAAGCGAGAUGUGAAAGCCCCGGGCUCAACCUGGGAACUGCAUUUCGAACUGGCAAACUAGAGUGUGAUAGAGGGUGGUAGAAUUUCAGGUGUAGCGGUGAAAUGCGUAGAGAUCUGAAGGAAUACCGAUGGCGAAGGCAGCCACCUGGGUCAACACUGACGCUCAUGUACGAAAGCGUGGGGAGCAAACAGGAUUAGAUACCCUGGUAGUCCACGCCGUAAACGAUGUCUACUAGAAGCUCGGUUCCUCGGAACUGUUUUUCAAAGCUAACGCAUUAAGUAGACCGCCUGGGGAGUACGGCCGCAAGGUUAAAACUCAAAUGAAUUGACGGGGGCCCGCACAAGCGGUGGAGCAUGUGGUUUAAUUCGAUGCAACGCGAAGAACCUUACCUACACUUGACAUACAGAGAACUUACCAGAGAUGGUUUGGUGCCUUCGGGAACUCUGA
rnacentral:rRNA from 1 species